rnacentral:rRNA from 1 species
UAACAUGGCUCAGGAUGAACGCUGGCGGCGUGCCUAAUACAUGCAAGUCGAACGAACUUCCGUUAAUUGAUCAGGACGUGCUGCACUGAAUGAGAUUUUAACACGAAGUGAGUGGCGGACGGGUGAGUAACACGUGGGUAACCUGCCCAGAAGCAGGGGAUAACACCUGGAAACAGAUGCUAAUACCGUAUAACAGAGAAAACCGCCUGGUUUUCUUUUAAAAGAUGGCUCUGCUAUCACUUCUGGAUGGACCCGCGGCGCAUUAGCUAGUUGGUGAGGUAACGGCUCACCAAGGCGAUGAUGCGUAGCCGACCUGAGAGGGUAAUCGGCCACAUUGGGACUGAGACACGGCCCAGACUCCUACGGGAGGCAGCAGUAGGGAAUCUUCCACAAUGGACGCAAGUCUGAUGGAGCAACGCCGCGUGAGUGAAGAAGGGUUUCGGCUCGUAAAGCUCUGUUGUUAAAGAAGAACGUGGGUGAGAGUAACUGUUCACCCAGUGACGGUAUUUAACCAGAAAGCCACGGCUAACUACGUGCCAGCAGCCGCGGUAAUACGUAGGUGGCAAGCGUUAUCCGGAUUUAUUGGGCGUAAAGCGAGCGCAGGCGGUCUUUUAAGUCUAAUGUGAAAGCCUUCGGCUCAACCGAAGAAGUGCAUUGGAAACUGGGAGACUUGAGUGCAGAAGAGGACAGUGGAACUCCAUGUGUAGCGGUGAAAUGCGUAGAUAUAUGGAAGAACACCAGUGGCGAAGGCGGCUGUCUGGUCUGUAACUGACGCUGAGGCUCGAAAGCAUGGGUAGCGAACAGGAUUAGAUACCCUGGUAGUCCAUGCCGUAAACGAUGAUUACUAAGUGUUGGAGGGUUUCCGCCCUUCAGUGCUGCAGCUAACGCAUUAAGUAAUCCGCCUGGGGAGUACGACCGCAAGGUUGAAACUCAAAAGAAUUGACGGGGGCCCGCACAAGCGGUGGAGCAUGUGGUUUAAUUCGAAGCUACGCGAAGAACCUUACCAGGUCUUGACAUCUUCUGCCAACCUAAGAGAUUAGGCGUUCCCUUCGGGGACAGAAUGACAGGUGGUGCAUGGUGUCGUC